rnacentral:rRNA from 1 species
UUGGAGGGCAAGUCUGGUGCCAGCAGCCGCGGUAAUUCCAGCUCCAAUAGCGUAUAUUAAAGUUGUUGCAGUUAAAAAGCUCGUAGUUGAAUCUCGGGAUCAAUGUUUCGGUCAUGCCGUUGGUAUGUACUGAUAUUAUUGAUUUCUCACCUUCUAAAGAACCGUAAUGCCAUUAAUUUGGUGUCACGGGGAAUUAGGACUGUUACCUUGAAAAAAUUAGAGUGUUUAAAGCAGGCUCACGCUUGAAUACAUUAGCAUGGAAUAAUGAAAUAGGACAUCCGAUUCUAUUUUGUUGGUUUCUAGGAUCGAUGUAAUGAUUAAUAGGGAUAGUUGGGGGCAUUAGUAUUCAAUUGUCAGAGGUGAAAUUCUUGGAUUUAUUGAAGACUAACUACUGCGAAAGCAUUUGCCAAGGAUGUUUUCAUUAAUCAAGAACGAAAGCUAGGGGAUCGAAGACGAUCAGAUACCGUCGUAGUCUUAACCAUAAACUAUGCCGACUAGGGAUCGGAUGAUGUUAAUUUUUUAAUGACUCAUUCGGCGCCUUACGGGAAACCAAAGUGUUUGGGUUC